GUCUUUAACCCAACCCUAAUAACUUCCACUUACCCGUUUGUCGAAGUAUAAAGCCGUCACGUCGCAGUCCACACCACCUGCACGAGGGAAGGGGCCCAACAUCUCCGCCGGGGAGGCCGUCGCCGGGAUCCUCCGCACAUCGCUUGGCCCCAUGGGCAUGGACAAGAUGCUCCAGAUCCCCGACGGCGACGUCGUCAUCAGUCAUUGGUGCAGGAAAAUAAUCCAUGUUGCGGCAUAGAUUGCAAUGAUGUUGGGACAAAUAACAUGAAAGAGCAGAAUGUGUUUGAAACACUGAUUGGCAAACAACGACAGAUCUUGCUUGCAACACAAGUUGUGAAAAUGAUUUUGAAGAUUGAUGAUGUGAUCACUCCAUCUGACUAUCGAUUUUGGUGGCUGAGGUUGUGAGCCAGGACAUAAACUAUCAGAAUUCGCCAUUGCUAAGUGGAAGAAGAAUCAGCCAGGCAUCAUUUGCAUUUUAUGGAUGCAUGUAUUUUUGGGCAAAUUGGUCAUCUGAAAUUCGGAUCACGCAGAAGUUGACUAAUCGUUGCAAUUGAAAACCAGACGGCACUCAACUUGGGUAACUAGAUUUUCUUUGCAAUGCCCGACGUUGUUGUCCUCCUUGAUUGGAAAAUUUUGAUAAGUAGAACUGUUAAUAUAUUAGACAAGAGUGCAUAGCUUGAGUUUAGGUAUUUUGAACUAGUAGAUCACUUAUGUUGUUAAGUUAUUAUUUCUUUAUUAUUUAGCUCUUUCUUGUCAAAAUUCAUGUGUAUUCAACCAUGAUAGUGACGGAAAUGUGGAUUAUGGUGAUUAUUUAUUUUAUAAGACUAGUUGGUAAUAUUGUUUUCUGCCAUGAAUGGGGUCUUUU